ensembl:lncRNA
UUAUUCUCUAUCAGAGAAGACUCUAAAAGCAACCGCAUUUUUAAAAGAUAUACUUUGUAAGUCUAGGGCAAGGAGAGGAUACAGCUAUAGAAGGAUUCUUGGCAUGUCUGAGGCUGCACAGAGGUGGAGGGGCUGGUAGGGGAACCAAUGAAUGGGUGAGGAGGGAAAACAGGAGGAACUGGGAGGGAUGGUCCCUGUAGCAGAAGAGGAGACUGGACUUCGCAGUUCUGAGAAAGCUGGCCAAGCAUCGUGUGUGCAAAUAGAGGGCUUCUGCGGAGUCGCAGCAUCAGUAUCACACUCCGUUGUCAUAGUUACACCCUGAAAAGGAAGAUGCCCUGACAAAGACCAGAUUGGCUGUGAACACAGCCCUCUUCCUAUGCGGAUAUUCAGGCCAUGUGGAGAGAUGAUGUACAGAUGUCCUGACACACAGCCAAAGUGAAGUUGCAAUUCACAACCAGCAUCAAUUUCCAGAUACGUGAGGAAGACUUUACGAUGACUCCAGCCCCAACCAUUGUCCAGCUGCAACUGCAGGAGAGACCCUAGUGAGGACCAGACAGCCAGACAGCUGCCCCCACAUCCUCGCUGUUGUUCAGUCACUAAGUCAUAUCUGACUCUUUGCAACCCCAUUAACUGCAAUAUGCCAGAUUUCCCCGUCCUUCACUGUCUCCCAGAGUUUGCUCAAACUCAUGUCCAUUGAGUCAGUGAUGCCUCUGAACCAUCUCAUCCUCUGUUAUCCCUUUCUC